rnacentral:rRNA from 1 species
GAUGAACGCUGGCGGCGUGCCUAAUACAUGCAAGUCGAGCGAACGGACGAGAAGCUUGCGUCGCUGAUGUUAGCGGCGGACGGGUGAGUAACACGUGUAUAACCUACCUAUAAGACUGAUAUAACUUGGGGAAACCGGAUCUAAUACCAGAGAAUAUUUUGAACCGCAUGGGUCGAAAGUGAACGACGGUCUUGCUGGAACUUAUAGAUGGAUCCGAGCUGUAUUAGAUAGUUGGUAAGUUAAUAGCUUAGCAAGGCAACGAUGCAUAGACGAAGUGACAGGGGGAUCGCCCACACGGGAACUGAGCCACGCACAUGAGUACUACGGGAGGACGCAGUAGGCAAUCUUCCGCAGUGGGCGAAAGUAUGACGGAGUAACGCCGCGUGAGUGAUGACGGUGUUCCGUUCGUAAAACUGUCUUAUUAGGGAAGAACCGCUGUCUCAGGAAAUGUGGCCAUCGUGACGGUAACUAAUCAGAAAGCACCGGCUAACUACGUG